CAGCGAGACCCCUUCCAGUCCUCACAUUCUAGGAUCCCACAAACCUGCAGAACUGAUUUAAUCGGUGGUGUUAUUUUUAGUCUUCAGCAUGGGAAACAAUUCUUAUGGGCAAUGUGGAAGAAAGGUGGUCGAAAAUGAAAUUUACAGUGAAAGUCACAGAGUCCACAGGAUGCAGGACUUCGAUGGCCAGGUGGUCCAGGUCGCCUGUGGUCAGGAUCAUAGUCUUUUCCUGACGGAUAAAGGAGAAGUCUAUUCUUGUGGAUGGGGUGCUGAUGGGCAAACAGGUCUGGGUCACUACAAUAUCACCAGCUCGCCCACCAAGCUGGGUGGAGACCUGGCGGGAGUGAACGUUAUCCAAGUUGCCACCUACGGUGAUUGCUGCCUGGCCGUGUCCGCCGACGGAGGACUUUUUGGUUGGGGAAACUCGGAGUACCUGCAGCUGGCCUCUGUCACGGACUCCACACAGGUGAAUGUGCCCCGCUGCUUACACUUCUCAGGAGUGGGGAAGGUGCGACAGGCUGCGUGCGGUGGCACGGGCUGUGCAGUGUUAAACGGAGAAGGACAUGUUUUUGUCUGGGGCUAUGGAAUUCUUGGGAAAGGUCCAAACCUAGUGGAAAGUGCCGUCCCCGAAAUGAUUCCACCCACUCUCUUUGGCUUGACGGAGUUCAACCCAGAAAUCCAGGUUUCCCGCAUCCGAUGUGGACUCAGCCACUUUGCUGCACUGACCAACAAAGGAGAGCUGUUUGUAUGGGGCAAGAACAUCCGAGGGUGCCUGGGAAUCGGUCGCCUGGAGGACCAGUAUUUCCCAUGGAGGGUGACGAUGCCUGGGGAGCCUGUGGACGUGGCAUGUGGCGUGGACCACAUGGUGACCUUGGCCAAGUCAUUCAUCUAAACCUCCCUCACCUGCUUGGGCGGCCCCGUCCCGGGAACCACUGGCACUCCUUGGCAGA
rnacentral:sRNA from 1 species